rnacentral:rRNA from 1 species
GGAGGACCGAACCCACAUCCGUUGAAAAGGGUGGGGAUGAGGUGUGGAUAGGGGAGAAAUUCCAAUCGAACCCGGAGAUAGCUGGUUCUCCUCGAAAUAGCUUUAGGGCUAGCCUCGUUUUAGUCUUGUGGAGGUAGAGCACUGAAUUUCCGCGGGGGCGUCAAAGCUUACCAAAGAAUAUCAAACUCCGAAUGCCAUUAAGAUGAUGAACGGGAGUCAGACUGUACGAGAUAAGUUGGACAGUCAAAAGGGAAAGAGCCCAGACCACCAGCUAAGGUCCCAAAGUGUGUGUUAAGUGGAAAAGGAUGUGGGGAUUCAAAGACAACUAGGAUGUUGGCUCAGAAGCAGCCAUUCAUUCAAAGAGUGCGUAACAGCUCACUAGUCGAGAGUCCCUGCGCCGAAAAUGUCCGGGGCUGAAACACAACACCGAAGCUGUGGAAUCAUACCUAGUAUGAUUGGUAGAGGAGCAUUCUUAAGACCGACGAAGCUGUACCGAUAAGGAGCAGUGGAGGGAUAAGAAGAGAGAAUGCCGGAAUGAGUAGCGAGAGGAAGGUGAGAAUCCUUCCGGCCGAAUAUCCAAGGAUUCCAGGGUAAAGCUGAUCUGCCCUGGGUAAGUCGGGACCUAAGGAGAGGCCGAGAGGCGUAUCCGAUGGACAACAGGUUUAGAUUCCUGUACCACAUAUGGUCAGAACUGUGGGGACGCAGAAGGAAAGCAUGAGCCAGGAAUGGAAAGACUGGUACAAGCAGAGGGGAUGGUGUGCUGGCAAAUCCGCACACGAAAGUCCUUGCUGUGAUGUGGAGCGAACCAGAGUAGCGAAGCAUGCAGACCGGCUGCCGAGAAAAGCCGCUAUUGUGCCAUAUGUGCCCGUACCGUAAACCGACACAGGUGGAUGAGGAGAGAAUCCUAAGGCCGACGGAAGAAGCAUUGUUAAGGAACUCGGCAAAAUGACCCCGUAACUUCGGGAGAAGGGGUGCCUGCGAGAGCAGGCCGCAGAGAAUAGGCUCAAGCAACUGUUUAGCAAAAACACAGGUCUAUGCAAAACCGAAAGGUGAAGUAUAUGGGCUGACGCCUGCCCGGUGCUGGAAGGUUAAGAGGAGAGGUUAGCGCAAGCGAAGCUUUGAAUUUAAGCCCCAGUAAACGGCGGCCGUAACUAUAACGGUCCUAAGGUAGCGAAAUUCCUUGUCGGGUAAGUUCCGACCCGCACGAAAGGCGUAAUGAUUUGAGCGCUGUCUCGACAAUGCAUCCGGUGAAAUUGAAGUACCAGUGAAGAUGCUGGUUACCCGCGCCAGGACGGAAAGACCCCAUGGAGCUUUACUCCAGUUUGGUACUGGGAUUCGGUACUGCAUGUACAGGAUAGGUGGGAGACGAAGAACUAGGGACGCCAGUUUCUAGGGAGUCGCUGUUGGGAUACCACCCUUGUAGUAUUGGAUUUCUAACCAGCCGCCGUGAUCCGGCGGUGGGACAAUGCCAGGCGGGGAGUUUGACUGGGGCGGUCGCCUCCGAAAGGGUAUCGGAGGCGCUCAAAGGUUCCCUCAGAAUGGUUGGAAACCAUUCGAAGAGUGCAAAGGCAGAAGGGAGCUUGACUGCGACACCGACGGGUGGAGCAGGUACGAAAGUAGGACUUAGUGAUCCGGUGGUAAUAAGUGGGAAUGCCAUCGCUCAACGGAUAAAAGCUACCCUGGGGAUAACAGGCUUAUCACUCCCAAGAGUUCACAUCGACGGAGUGGUUUGGCACCUCGAUGUCGGCUCAUCGCAUCCUGGGGCUGAAGUAGGUCCCAAGGGUUGGGCUGUUCGCCCAUUAAAGCGGUACGCGAGCUGGGUUCAGAACGUCGUGAGACAGUUCGGUCCCUAUCCGGCGCGGGCGUAGGAUAUCUGAGGGGAGCUGGCCUUAGUACGAGAGGACCGGGCUGGACGGACCACUGGUGUACCGGCUGUCAUGCCAAUGGCAUCGCCGGGUAGCCAAGUCCGGAAGGGAUAAACGCUGAAGGCAUCUAAGCGUGAAGCCCCCCCCAAGAUGAGAUGUCCCUGU